GACGCUCCUACUCAUCUCUCUUCAAGAUUUUGAGCCCUAAUUAGGGCAUACAGGCCCACCAAGCCCAUUUCAAUGUCAUGCGCGACUCCAACGGUCGAACCCUAGUGUAACCACCAUUGUUUCAUCUCUAUCCAGAGCCCAAAAAACGAUCCAAAACUCGAAACCCCUCUCUCUUCCCCGUCUGCGAACCAAUGGAACCAUCCCAAACUGAUAGAUAAACCUCUCCAUUUCCAUCCUCCAAAAAACCCUAACCCUAACCCUAGAAAAUGAGAAACCAUUGGCGUUUGCUUCUCCUCCGGUGUUACUCUCGCUCUCACUCCACCAUCUCCAUAUUCGGCUCUCAAUUCCAGGUACACUCUUCUCCCAACUCUCGCUCCUUUUCUUCACUCCUCCACCCACGUGCACCUCACGUGUUCCCACCAUCUUUCGGUUCUCAAUCUCAAAGCCCUAAAAUCACUAGUGUUCGAUUUUUCUCUUCAUCUGAACUCGCUAUCGAACACAAAGGGUCAGAUCAAGUCGGUGCUGUGAUCGAAGUUUUUUCUAAACCCGAAACAAGUAAUGAUGAUAUUAAGAUGGAAUUAGAGUCUAAUAAUGUAGUUAUUAGCCACGACUUGGUGUUAAAGGUCUUGAAAAAUCCUGAUACGUCUUAUGAUGUUGCUCGGAGGUUUUUUGAUUGGAUUUCUGAGAGAGAAAACGAGCGAUUGAGCUCGAAGUCGUAUAAUUUGAUGUUGGGUAUAUUGGGUGUGAAUGGGUAUGUGAAGGAGUUCUGGGAUUUGGUUGGAAUUAUGAAGAAGAAAGGUUAUGGAGUGUUAAGGGCCACGCAUGUUAGGGUUUCUGAGAAAUUUGAGAAAGAAGGACGGGUUGGUGAUUUGGAGAAGUUGAAAGAGUUGUUUGCAUCCGGAUCAAUAGAUAAUUCGAUCGAAAAAAUGUGUUCCAGAGUUUCUAAGGUGAUUCGGAAAGAAGUGUGGGGUGAUAAAGUUGAAAAGCAGUUACGGGAACUGAAUAUUCCAUUUUCUAGUAAUUUGGUCACAAUGGUUUUGGAAAAUAUUGGGACAGAACCCAAUAAGGCUUUGAUAUUUUUCCGGUGGAUUGAGGAGAGUAAUUUAUUAGAACACGGUGGGCAGACUUACAAUGCUAUGGUGGGUGUGUUGGGCAGGGAGGACUGCCUUGAUAAGUUUUGGAGGGUGGUUGAUGAAAUGAAGGUUGCUGGGUAUGAAAUGGAGAGAGGAACAUACCUUAAGGUUUUGGGGCGUUUUAUUAAGAGGAAAAUGAUCAAGGAUGCUGUAGAUUUGUAUGAGUUUGCAUUGAAUGGUGCAAAUAAGCCUUCAGAGCAGGAUUGCACCUUUCUUUUGAGAAAAAUUGUGGUCGAUAAAGAGCUAGAUAUGGACUUAUUUCUGAAAGUUGUGAAGGCUUUUACAAAUUCUGGGAAUCUGUUGAAGAAUUCGACCCUUGACGCAGUUCUGAAAUCCUUAAUCAGUGUUGGUAGGUUUGGAGAAUGUAAUAAUAUCUUGAAAGCAAUGAAGGAAGUUGGUUUCUUACCAGGUGCUACUUUGCAGAGUAAAAUUGCCUUCCGGCUUAGUAGUGAUGGGGAAAAGGACAGAGCAAGUGAAUUUUUGGAUACUAUUGAAGCAUCUGGGUGUAAUCCAAAUUACAAGAUGUGGUUGUCUUUAGUUGAAGGAAACUGUGUUGCUGGUGAUCUUGAUCAUGCUUCUGCUUGUCUCAAAAAGAUGGUUGAAAAGGAGGGGGCCGCCUCUGCUGGGUAUGCUCUCCAACCGUUGGUUAAUGCAUAUUGCCGUAAGAACAGAGCAGUGGAUGCGUGCAAGCUUCUUUCUGAUUUGGUCACUGAGAACGAAUUAAAACCUUGGCAUCCUACAUACAAAGUAUUGAUAAGCGAUUUACUGGUUCAUGGAGGUUUUAAAGAAGCUUUGAACCUUCUGGGCUUGAUGAAAAAUCAGGGGUUCCCACCUUUCUUAGAUCCAUUUAUUAAAUACCUUUCAAAGAAGGGGACUGCUGAUGAUGCUAUGAUGUUCUUGAAAGCAAUUACUUCGGAGAGGUUUCCGUCUGCGUCAGUGUUUCUCAAUGUCUUUGAAGCGUAUUUCAAGGCUGGAAGGAAAAAUGAAGCACAAGAUCUCCUUUCUAGAUGCCCGGGAUACAUCCGAAACAAUGCUGAUGUUUUGAAUCUUUUCUUUUCCAUGAAAUCUGCUGAAGCAGCUACCGUCACUGCUGUGGCUGCUUAGGAUUUAGCUGGGUGUAUCUUGUAUUGUAUUUUGCGAGGAUGAAGUAGUAUGCAAGCUUUGAAAAUUUUGGGAGUGAGGUUGGAAGUAUGGUUUGAUGAUGUGUUACUGCUCCGUUGGGUCAAGAUCAGUUGGUCACAUUUUAUAGACUUUACGGUAUGGAUCUACCUAUUAUUAAUUAUAAGGAGCUGGACUAAUUUUUAUUAUAAAGAUGAAUGCUAUGGUUGCCUGCUGCUUCUGAAGUGAGUGAUGAUGAGGGAACUGUUUCUAAGGUUAAGUAUAUGAAUUUAUUUUCUACUUUCUGUUGUAAAUAUCUGCAUUUGAGUUUGUUUUCGCUUCUUAAUUUGAUUGGUUAUAGCUUCAAAAUAUUUGGGAUAUUAGCUAUUAUAUAAUAUUGUUCUGUUUAAGCAAUGCCUGCAACGGAAUGUUCACUGGAUUGUUGAACUCGCUCUCUUUCUUGCGGCCAGAAAGUUUCACUAUUCACAUGCUUUUGAGCCUUGAUUGUUUGUUUAAAUAUGUUGUUCAACGAUGUGGGGAAAUAAUUUAUCAGUUCCCAUCUUUGUCAUUGUUUCCUUUGUAUCUUAGAUAUAUUUUUUUGUUCAAUGGCUUUAUAUUUUUAUAUUUUUAUUAUCAGUCACUGAUCACAAAGAGAAAAAGAGGUAGAUAAUAGUUUUUUGUUUUAUCUGCUUCAGUAGGAAUGCACUGUUAUCUUGUUUCAGAUAAUCAUUAUGUGUUUAUGACAUGAAUGAAGGUACUAAUCGAUUCCAAAUUUCCAAUUUUAAUAAGGCUCCUAAAAAGUGAGCCACUUCCUGCAACCUUCUGUUUUUUCUUUCACUUAUCAUAUAUUUAAAGUUGUGUUUCUUUUUUUUUUCUUAUAGUUGGGAAACUUAUUCCAUUUAUUUUUUCUUAUAAUACUUUACGAAUUGUGUAAUUGAAAUACUAGAUUGGGCUACUAUUGUAUUGUUUUCAACUUCAAUAGGUUCUGUAAUAUCUAAUUUCUAAUACUUAAUUACGUACUUACCAGCAAUACAAUCUGUUUGUUGUUGAUUUAUACUACUAUAAAGUCGCAGAUGGUGCAUCUUAAUAUCUUUACCAGUAUCACUUGUUUAAAGGAAAGAUGUGUAAAUGUUUUACUGUGGAUGAAUUAAUUCAUAUUCCUCAAUGAUAAAUCUGAUAUUGGCAACCUCUUAUUCCUCCAUCUGAUAAAAAAAACCUAUUAUUCCUCCAUCUGAUAAAAAAAACCUAUUAUUCCUCCCUUCAUUAUGGUCCAGAUCUGAGAUUUACCAAAUUCCCUUGCUUGAAUCAGUGUUCUAAUUCCAGGCAAUAGUGGACAUGUCAACUGCUCUUUGUUCUGGAUUCUUCUGUUAAACACGAUGGUGUUGGAAAAUAUACCGUUAAAGGGUUAUAUUGCAUGUUCAAAAAGCAGAGGCCCUAAACAUGGCACUAUAGAAAUUCUGAAAGCAGGUAUGCGUGGAGAUAGAUUAUAAUGUUUGCAUUUGGCCAAUACUUGGUGUUGCCUUGGCUUGUAUGAAUUUCAGACAUCAUUAAUUGACUGCAGGUGCACAUGCCGGUGUCCACACAUCUACACACCCACAUUUGUGUGUCUCGAAAUAAGAUGAAUAUAGAAAAUGACUUUACCUUGAGUCCUUCCCAUGGGUUUUUUGUUAUUUCCCUUGUUGUCACUAUUGCCUUGGUGUCUACAUGAAAUUAAUUGCAUCAGCUUUUUAGGGGUAUUGGGUUGGGGUGCUGCAGUUCCAUUAUGGUAGCUUAGUGAAUCGAAUGAGACUUUUCGAUGAGCAAAACGCAACGAGUGUGACUGAACUAGCGACCCACUCAAGUUUGUUUACGCCCUCCUCUCUUCUCUUAAUAUAAAUUGUGAAAAUCUCACUUGAAGCCUUCUAUUUCAAAAUUUCAAUCACUCUAGCUGACAUGUUUUGGAAUGUAGGUAAGAAACAAUGGACAACUGAUAUUCCAACAGACAAUAUGACAAAAAUGCCAUCAAGUUGUGAUGAUUAGUAGCUAUUACAACGGGGGGUGCAUGGCCUCUGUUAUGGCAGAAUUCGAUUGCAGAAGGGGGGGCUAACAAUAGGAACAAAAUCUUUUAAUUCUACUCGCGUGUUGGUGCCAAGGUAUACAGAUUUACAAGUUUAAAACUACUAGGUCUUUGAUGUCUUUUUCAGACUGUUAAAACAUAUAAUCCAUUACAAGGGUAAAGGUAGGCCACUAUGUCCCCGGACACACACACACUCCAUUCCAUGUUGGUACCAUAUUUGUGUUUCAGCAAGUGAGCUUUUUAGUUAACUUUCAUGUCAUUGAGUGUCUCAAAUUGUAAUUUUUUUCCCUACCUAUUUUUCUGAGCCUAAAAGGCAUGGCUGAAAAACAUUGAUCAAUGACAUUUCUUUAG